UACGGAGGGUGCGAGCGUUGUCCGGAAUCAUUGGGCGUAAAGGGUGCGUAGGUGGCGCUGUAAGUCAGGUGUGAAAUUUCGGAGCUUAACUCCGAAACUGCAUUUGAUACUGCGGUGCUCGAGGACUGGAGAGGAGACUGGAAUUUACGGUGUAGCAGUGAAAUGCGUAGAGAUCGUAAGGAAGACCAGUGGCGAAGGCGGGUCUCUGGACAGUUCCUGACACUGAGGCACGAAGGCCAGGGGAGCAAACGGG
rnacentral:rRNA from 1 species